GAUUUAGAGGUCGGUUCCGAUCAGGCGCUUUCCAAGGGGCAGUGUUACCAGGGGAAAUGAAAGCGUGCUGCUUCUUUGGAUGUCGUGGGCGCAUUCACAACGUUGUGUCGCAUUUUAAAUUUCUGGGAGGAUUGACAGAUUGAGAGCUCUUUCUUGAUUCGGUGGAUGGUGGUGCAUGUCCGUUUUUACUUGGUGGAGUGACUUGUCUGGUUAAUUCUGAUAACAAACGAGAUUCUAGCCUAUUAAAUAGGGGCGUGGUUCUCUGCAGUUUGCACCCUUCCGAGAGGGACGAGCACCUCCUAGCCGCACGAAACAGAGCAAUAACAGGUCUGUCACCUUUAGAUGUUCGGGGCCGCACGCGCGCUACACUGAAGGAAGCCGCGUGUUUUUAUCCCUUCCCGUUCAGACAGUAAGCUUAGAAGAAAGUGGCUUGAGCAA
rnacentral:ncRNA from 1 species